rnacentral:rRNA from 1 species
GACGAACGCUGGCGGCGUGCCUAAUACAUGCAAGUCGAGCGCAGGAAAUCAUCCGAACCUCCCGGGGGACGUUGAUGGAAUGAGCGGCGGACGGGUGAGUAACACGUAAAGAACCUGCCCUCAGGUCUGGGAUAACCACGAGAAAUCGGGGCUAAUACCGGAUGGGUCAUCGGACCGCAUGGUCCGAGGAUGAAAGGCGCUUCGGCGUCGCCUGGGGAUGGCUUUGCGGUGCAUUAGCUAGUUGGGGGGGUAAUGGCCCACCAAGGCGACGAUGCAUGGCCGACCUGAAAGGGUGAUCGGCCACACUGGGACUGAGCCACGGCCCAGCCUCCUACGGGAGGCAGCAGUAGGGAAUCUUCCACAAAGGAGGAAAGUCUGAUGGAGCAACGCCGCGUGAACGAUGAAGGCCUUCGGGUCGUAAAGUUCUGUUGUAAGGGAAGAACAAGUGCCGCAGGCAAUGGCGGCACCUUGACGGUACCUUGCGAGAAAGCCACGGCUAACUACGUGCCAGCCGCCGCCGUAA